rnacentral:tRNA from 1 species
GGGCCCUUAGCUCAGUUGGUUAGAGCAACAGACUCAUAAUCUGUAGGUCGAUGGUUCAAUCCCAUCAGGGCCCA